rnacentral:rRNA from 1 species
GAUGAACGCUGGCGGCGUGCUUAACACAUGCCAGUCGAACGAGAAGUGACGACGGAAACCUUCGGGCGGAAGGCUUUAUUUCUAGUGGCGGACGGGUGAGUAACGCGUGGGUAACCUGCCUCAUACAGGGGGAUAACAGUUGGAAACGACUGUUAAUACCGCAUAAGACCACAGCACGGCAUGGUGCGGGGGUAAGAACUCCGGUGGUAUGAGAUGGACCCGCGGUCGAUUAGCCAGUUGGCUGGGUAACGGCCCACCAAAGCGACGAUCGCUAGCCGAUCUGAGAGCAUGACCGGCCACAUUGGGACUGAGACACGGCCCAAACUCCUACGGGAGACAGCAGUGGGGAAUAUUGCACAAUGGGGGAAACCCUGAUGCAGCGACGCCGCGUGAGUGAAGAAGUAUUUCGGUAUGUAAAGCUCUAUCAGCAGGGAAGAAAAUGACGGUACCUGAGUAAGAAGCCCCGGCUAACUACGUG